rnacentral:rRNA from 1 species
GACGAACGCUGGCGGCGUGCCUAAUACAUGCAAGUAGAACGCUGAAGGAGGAGCUUGCUUCUCUGGAUGAGUUGCGAACGGGUGAGUAACGCGUAGGUAACCUGCCUGGUAGCGGGGGUUAACUAUUGGAAACGAUAGCUAAUACCGCAUAAUAUUGACUAUUGCAUGAUAGUCAGUUGAAAGGUGCAACUGCACCACUACCAGAUGGACCUGCGUUGUAUUAGCUAGUUGGUGGGGUAACGGCUCACCAAGGCGACGAUACAUAGCCGACCUGAGAGGGUGAUCGGCCACACUGGGACUGAGACACGGCCCAGACUCCUACGGGAGGCAGCAGUAGGGAAUCUUCGGCAAUGGACGGAAGGCUGACCGAGCAACGCCGCGUGAGUGAAGAAGGGUUUCGGAUCGUAAAGCUCUGUUGUAAGAGAAGAACGAGUGUGAGAGUGGAAAGCUCACACUGUGACGGUAUCUUACCAGAAAAGGACGGCUAACUACGUG